CGCCCUGCGCCGCAGACGUGGGGAGGGACGUGGAGAGCCACUGGCCUCGUGCAAAGGGCCUCUGGUUCAGGCUAACGCUCUGAGCAAGCGAGUGCCCUGGUGCUGCAGAGCCGCCUCGCGAGCCGGUGGGGAGGCAGGAGGAACCCCAGGGUAUCGGGUUGGAACUAGAGGUGUCAGCGUGAAGUCGAGAAUUUAAAAAAAAAAAAAUGUAUCCCCAGCUUUGCAGGAAAGACCUCAGGUGGUGACAUUACAGAACUCCUCUGGAGCCACGGCCGAUCAUUUCUGAGGAACCCCCCACCCAGAGGAGCCAGGGGUUUUUGGAGAAAGGCCAGUUCCAGGGCUGGGCCAGGAAAGUACAAGAUGAGCCUGCAACACCUGGCUGACCUAAAAGAGGAGUCAGUGCUCAAAAUGAUCCGAGUUGGCCAAAAGUUCACAGGACACAGUGGAAAGAGCUCCUGCAGGCCAAUUCGGGAACCGUUGAGCAGGCUGGACAAAAGUGGGGACCGGUGUAAUCCUACAGUGGAUGACUGGCCCCAGGGCAGCAGAGAAGAAUCCCUUGGUAUAUGAGACAACAGGCAGAUCUCACAGUCAAAUGACAAAUAACCCACCACAAAAGACAUAUGUUGUAGGAUUCGAUUUAUGUGCAGUUCAAGGACAAGCAAGACCAUCUAUAGUGACAGAGGUCAGAAUAGUACUUACUUGGGACACCAGGGGACCCUCCAGAGUGGAGGAAACACCCUCUGUUGUUACCUGACAGUACAGACCGAAGGACAGACAUGGACAUGGGUGCAGGCCCACUUCAUGGGUGUGCACAGGGUCCAGUGCUCAGAAGGGCCCCACACUUGAGUGAGUUCCCGAUGCCCACUCUUCUGUCCUCUAAGAGUUGCAGCCUCCCUCAGCCUCUGCCCCACCCCCACCCAAUGACUAUCAGGAUCUGGGCACAGCCAGGAAGAGGGUCAGGUUGGACACUCAUGUCAAUGUCAUAAAGACCCCCCACAAAAAAAGGGGGGCACUGAAAGAACUGUUCUUUUAGAUAAAGGAGAUGAGAGAGAUUUGAUAAACACAACACGGGAUUCUGGAUUGAACUCUGCAUCAUUAGAGAAAGCCAGAGAAGACGUCACUGAGACAAUCUGCGAUGUUUGAAGGUGAACCAUAUUGGACGAUACUGUGGUAGUGACUGCGAGUUUCCUGAAUUUGAGAACGGUACUGUGAUUGUGUGAAGGAACCUGCUUUGGUUCAUAUGGCUCACGCUGAGGCAUUCGAGGGUGAAGAACUAUGUCUGCAACUUGUUUUCAGAUGAUUUUACCAAAAACACCACACAGCAUAACACUACCGCAAACGCACAGUCUGUACCCACCAGGGGAGAAAACGUGGCAGAGGCCACGGUAGGUGCGUGUAGGUGACGGUGCAUGCUUAUUCGUUUCCAUUGCUGCCAUGACAGAGGGUCACAGGCUCAGGCCUACAGGUCGCUGGACUGAAAUGAAGGAGGGGACCAAGCUGUGUCCCUUUCCAGAGCCUCCAGCUCUGGGAAAUCUAUGUCCCCACUUUCUCCAGCUCUUCUAUUUGCUUUUGGCUCUUUCUAGAGGGACCCACGACCUUCCGCUCAUGGUCCUGAUCCAUCUUCAGACGCAGCAUGGCUAGGGAAGCCUUCCUCACAACGUAUCCCUCUGACAUGGACUCUUCUGCCUCCUUCUUCCACUUUUACGGACCCUUUGAUUACACUGGAAAAAUCACAGUAAUCCCCCUGUUUCAAGGUCAGCUGAUUAGCAACCUUAGUUUCCCUCUGUCAUAUAACAUAGUCACAGGUUCUGGGGAUCAAACAUGGACAUCUUGCUGGGCACAAUGGGACGUGCCUGUGAUCCCAGCCACUCCGGAGGGAGGCUGUAGCAAGAGGAUCACAAGCUUGAGGCCUGCCUGGGCAACUUAGUGAGACCCUAUCUCAAAAUUUAAAGUGCUGGGGAUGUAGCUUGGUGGUAGAGCACCCUGGGUUUAAUCCGAAAAACCAAAAAAUAAGUGGACAUUUUGGAGAGUCAUGAUCCUACCACCACAAUUGUAGCAAGCUUUUCAAUAAGUUCAUUUUUCCCCCCAGAAGAAAAAACUCGUAACAUAGAAAGUCCCUAGAAAUCUGCAAAAAGGCCACUAAAGCCUGUGAGUUUAGCAACCUGGUAGGAUACAAAGGCCAAGAAACAAACAGAAAGAGACAAUUGGAAGUUAAAUUUUUCAAUGGCAUCAAAGAAACAGGAAGUACCUAGAACAAAUCUAAGAGAACCUAAGCAAGGUUUUAUACCAUAAGCUACAACACAUUGAUGAGAGAAAUUAAAGAAACGGGGGUGUACCAGAUUUGUAGACUGGGAGCCCCAACAUUGUUAGGAAGCCCCUCCCCUGAGCCGCAGUCAGAGGCAGAACAACCCCAGCCCAAAACCUCACUGGAGCCAGAAAUUGAUGGCUGGUUCUAAGAUUUGGAAAUGCGGAGAGCCUAGAAGACUCAAAAGAAUUCUAAGAACAGAAGUUGGAGGGUUCGAACCUCCUGAUUUUAAGGCUCAUUCAAAAGCUCCUUAGCUUACAGCUGUAAAUAGGGACUGUGUGGCAUCCGCGUCCCAUAGAAAUGCAGGUAAGUGGAGUCCAUCAGCAGCCCCGGGAAUAGAAGCAAGCCCGAGGUCAAGCGCUCUCUAAAAGAAACCCCCAAAGAGCAGAAUGAAAAAGGUCCACCAGCGCCGGCUGCCAUUUCAGACCAACACCCUGUCCCCAGGUGUGUGAGAGUACAAGGUCCUGGGUCUCUCUCGCGGUCUCAGAGACUGGCCCGCAGGUCGCUGUCCGAGGUGCUGAACGCUCGCGGCCGCCGCUGAUCUGCCCUCCCAUAGGCCCUGGUUCUCGGCUGACACAGCAUCUUCGUUUGUAUGUGGUGCUGAGGAUCGAACCCCGGGCCGCACGCAUGCUAGACGAGCGCGCUACCGCUUGAGCCACAUCCCCAGCCCCACUGUUAAGUUUUUUAAGGUUAAUUACUUGUUGGUUAUGAAAAUGUCAAACAUACACAAAACCAGAAUGGUGUCGUGACUCACCUGUCCCCAUCACCCUAUGCCCACAAUCAUCCAGCCCUGUUACAUCCCCGUCCACCCCUAAACACACUAACCAGAUGUGUCUUAUCAUGUAACUCAUAAACGCCUGGUUGAUGGGUCGCUAAGAGACAAGAACUCCAACCACAUUCCCCGGGGUCGGCCACUGGAAGGCAGCGGUGCCCUUUAACCUGGCUGAACACCAGCUGCUGUCAUGACCCGAUCUGCAGUUGGGAUGCGAGUCCUGGAGGCUGAGACACUGCUGGGGGGCCUAAUCCAGCCAUGGUAGUGCGAGGACAGAGGUCACCCCAACUGCAGCCCUGUUGCUACAGAGGACAUUGUGCAAGUCUGGAACCCAAGAUGCUGACUCAGGUGGCCACACCCCCGUGGUGGCCCCUGAAAACACUAGUGUCUGGGGACUACAGGAUUCAGGCACACUCCCGCCAGGGCAGGUCUAGGUGAAGACUAAUUGCAUCAGAAUCUCUGUAGAAGAACCUGAGCAUGUUCCUGCCCAGCAUUCCACUGUCCCGUCAGGGCACAGCCACAGCUGGCCUGGCUGCACUGCCGCUCUCGCCUCUGGCUGGCUGUGUGGCCCACAGUUCUCUAACCCCAGACUCCUCCUCGCUUGAGAUUACACGGGGUGACCCCAAUCUGC